rnacentral:rRNA from 1 species
UACGUAGGGUGCAAGCGUUGUCCGGAAUUAUUGGGCGUAAAGAGCUCGUAGGCGGUUUGUCGCGUCGAAUGUGAAAACCCGGGGCUCAACUCCGGGCCUGCAUUCGAUACGGGCAGACUAGAGUUCGGUAGGGGAGUCUGGAAUUCCUGGUGUAGCGGUGAAAUGCGCAGAUAUCAGGAGGAACACCUGAGGUGAAGACGGGUUGCUGGGCUGACACUGACGCUGAGGCGCGAAAGCCAGGGGAGCAAACGGG